UUACGGGAGGCAGCAGUAAGGAAUAUUGGACAAUGGGCGCAAGCCUGAUCCAGCCAUGCCGCGUGAAGGAUGAAGGCCCUAUGGGUCGUAAACUUCUUUUAUACGGGACAAAACCCCCCGAUGCGUCGGGGGUUGAUGGUACUGUAAGAAUAAGGGUCGGCUAACUUCGUGCCAGCAGCCGCGGUAAUACGAAGGACCCGAGCGUUAUCCGGAUUUAUUGGGUUUAAAGGGUGCGUAGGCGGAUUAGUAAGUCAGUGGUGAAAGCCCAUCGCUUAACGGUGGAACUGCCAUUGAUACUGCUAGUCUUGAGUAUGGUUGAGGUGGGCGGAAUGUGUCAUGUAGCGGUGAAAUGCUUAGAUAUGACCCAGAACACCAAUUGCGAAGGCAGCUCGCUAAGCCAUAACUGACGCUGAUGCACGAAAGCGUGGGGAGCAAACAGGAUUAGAUACCCCGGUAGC
rnacentral:rRNA from 1 species